UGUGUCUAUAUGGUCUUGUGAUGUGGUGUGUGUCUAUAGGGUCCUGUGAUGUGGUGUGUGUCUAUAUGGUCCUGUGAUGUGGUGUGUGUCUAUAUGGUCCUGUGAUGUGUGUGUGUCUAUAUGGUCUUGUGAUGUGUGUGUGUCUAUAUGGUCCUGUGAAGUGGUGUGUGUCUAUAUGGCCUUGUGAUGUGGUGUGUGUCUAUAUGGUCCUGUGAUGUGUGUGUGUCUAUAUGGUCUUGUGAUGUGUGUGUGUCUAUAUGGUCCUGUGAUGUGGUGUGUGUCUAUAUGGUACUGUGAUGUGGUGUGUGUCUAUAGGGUCCUGUGAUGUGUGUGUGUCUAUAUGGUCCUGUGAUGUGGUGUGUGUCUAUAAGGUACUGUGAUGUGGUGUGUGUCUAUAUGGUCCUGUGAUGUGGUGUGUGUCUAUAUGGUCCUGUGAUGUGGUGUGUGUCUAUAUGGUCCUGUGAUGUGGUGUGUGUCUAUAUGGUCCUGUGAUGUGUGUGUGUCUAUAUGGUCCUGUGAUGUGGUGUGUGUCUAUAUGGUCCUGUGAUGUGGUGUGUGUCUAUAUGGUCCUGUGAUGUGGUGUGUGCCUAUAGGGUCCUGUGAUGUGGUGUGUGUCUAUAGGCUCAUGUGAUGUGUGUGUGUCUAUAUGGUCCUGUGAUGUGGUGUGUGUCUAUAGGGUCCUGUGAUGUGGUGUGUGUCUAUAUGGUCCUGUGAUGUGGUGUGUGUGUGUCUAUAUGGUCCUGUGAUGUGGUGUGUGUCUUUAUGGUACUGUGAAGUGGUGUGUGUCUAUAUGGCCUUGUGAUGUGGUGUGUGUCUAUAUGGUCCUGUGAUGUGUGUGUGUCUAUAUGGUCUUGUGAUGUGUGUGUGUCUAUAUGGUCCUGUGAUGUGGUGUGUGUCUAUAUGGUACUGUGAUGUGGUGUGUGUCUAUAGGGUCCUGUGAUGUGUGUGUGUCUAUAUGGUCCUGUGAUGUGGUGUGUGUCUAUAUGGUCCUGUGAUGUGGUGUGUGUCUAUAAGGUACUGUGAUGUGGUGUGUGUCUAUAUGGUCCUGUGAUGUGGUGUGUGUCUAUAAGGUACUGUGAUGUGGUGUGUGUGUCUAUAGUGUCCUGUGAUGUGGUGUGUGUCUAUAAGGUACUGUGAUGUGGUGUGUGUCUAUAUGGUCCUGUGAUGUGGUGUGUGUCUAUAUGGUCCUGUGAUGUGGUGUGUGUCUAUAUGGUCCUGUGAUGUGGUGUGUGUCUAUAUGGUCCUGUGAUGUGUGUGUGUCUAUAUGGUCCUGUGAUGUGGUGUGUGUCUAUAUGGUCCUGUGAUGUGGUGUGUGUCUAUAGGGUUAUAUGAUGUGGGGUGUGCCUAUAAGGUACUGUGAUGUGGUAUGUGUCUAUAUGGUCCUGUGAUGUGGUGUGUGUCUAUAUGGUCCUGUGAUGUGGUGUGUGUGUGUCUAUAGUGUCCUGUGAUGUGGUGUGUGUCUAUAGGGUACUGUGAUGUGGUGUGUGUCUAUAGGGUUAUAUGAUGAGGUGUGUGUGUGUGUGUCUUACCGUUGGUGUCAUUGUCAUCACUCUUAGGAGGGGCGUGUCCUGUGUAUCCCACGGCAAUUCUGAUCAUCCGUUCUGGAUUCCUUAUCCUCUUCAACCCUACGAAGAGACAGAGAAAUAGAGACAGAGAGACCAACAGAGAGAGAGAGAGAGAACGAGAGACAGCAAGAAACAGAGAGAAG
ensembl:lncRNA